CAGGUACCUGCUGUGAUGUUCAGCCUUUUUAGGUCUCUAGCACAUGUAUGCGUGACAGCAGGACAUCUUCAGAAUGAGAGCAUGAAUGUGCACUCCAUAUGGUGAUAGCACAGAAAAGUAAAUGUUCCAGGCAAGACUUCAGCAGAAGUCACACCUGGAGUAGUUACCUGGCAGAGACAGCCUGUUCUGCAGUUCUUCUGUACAGCUCAGGAUUCAGUCUUUAUCAUGCCAAUCAGCUAACUUAAAUGGAGUAACUCUAGACAAUUUGUUUUAUGUUGAAACAUGGAUUAAGAAAGCUUUAAAUUUGGAUUUUGUGACUCUUGUGCUAUAUUUUGAGGUUAUGGAUUCUUUGCCCUUAACACUGAAAUUCAUUUCUUUGCACUUUGAAGUGAAUUUUCUAGGUAGCUAAGAGAAACUUUUUUUUUUGCAGCUAACAAGUUAUCUUUUGGACUCGAGGGGAAAUUAAAACAAACAAACAAAAAACCCCACAAAACAGUGCUCCAGGACCUUAAUCAUCUUUCUGGCCCAGACUGGACUGUCCUAGUGUCACUGAGUGAAGCACUGAUAUUCUUUAUUUGAAUAUAAUCUUUUAUAAUCUUAGACACUGUUCAAUUGAGGGGAGAGUAAAGCAUGAGCAAUUGAAAAAAUAUAUGCCUGGACUUCAAAAUUAAAUCUGAAAACUGUAAUUCUUCAGAUGGGGAUCAUGUAACUAUCAAGUCUGCAUUUCUGCUCUGCUGAGAAGACCUUUGUACCUAUGAAGAGCCUGCAAAGCCUAAUGAGAAGAUAGAUCUAGGU
rnacentral:lncRNA from 1 species